rnacentral:rRNA from 1 species
CACGCCGUAAACGAUGAUCACUAGCUGUUGGCGAUACACCGAUCAGCGGCAAAGCAAAAGACAUUAAGUGAUCCACCUGGGGAGUACGGCCGCAAGGCUGAAACUCAAAGGAAUUGACGGGGGCCCGCACAAGCGGAGGAACAUGUGGUUUAAUUCGAUGAUACGCGAGGAACCUUACCUGGGCUUAAAUGUAGAGUGCAUUGGAGGGAAACUUUCAUUUUCUUCGGAACUCUUUACAAGGUGCUGCAUGGUUGUCGUCAGCUCGUGCCGUGAGGUGUCGGGUUAAGUCCCAUAACGAGCGCAACCCUUAUCGUUAGUUGCCAGCGGGUAAUGCCGGGAACUCUAGCGAAACUGCCGGUGUAAACCGA